rnacentral:rRNA from 1 species
UACGAAGGGGGCUAGCGUUGCUCGGAAUCACUGGGCGUAAAGGGUGCGUAGGCGGGGCUUUAAGUCAGGGGUGAAAUCCUGGAGCUCAACUCCAGAACUGCCUUUGAUACUGAGGAUCCUGAGUUCGGGAGAGGUGAGUGGAACUGCGAGUGUAGAGGUGAAAUUCGUAGAUAUUCGCAAGAACACCAGUGGCGAAGGCGGCUCACUGGCCCGAUACUGACGCUGAGGCACGAAAGCGUGGGGAGCAAACAGG